AUUGAACGCUGGCGGCAUGCCUUACACAUGCAAGUCGAACGGCAGCACGGGGGCAACCCUGGUGGCGAGUGGCGAACGGGUGAGUAAUGCAUCGGAGCGUGCCCAGUAGUGGGGGAUAACCAGUCGAAAGACUGGCUAAUACCGCAUACGACCUAAGGGUGAAAGCGGGGGACCGUAAGGCCUCGCGCUAUUGGAUCGGCCGAUGUCUGAUUAGCUAGUUGGCGGGGUAAGGGCCCACCAAGGCGACGAUCAGUAGCUGGUCUGAGAGGACGACCAGCCACACUGGGACUGAGACACGGCCCAGACUGCUACGGGAGGCAGCAGUGGGGAAUUUUGGACAAUGGGCGCAAGCCUGAUCCAGCCAUGCCGCGUGCGGGAAGAAGGCCUUCGGGUUGUAAACCGCUUUUGGCAGGAACGAAACGGCGCAGGCCAAUACCUUGCGCUAAUGACGGUACCUGCAGAAUAAGCACCGGCUAACUACGUGCCAGCAGCCGCGGUAAUAC
rnacentral:rRNA from 1 species